AGGGAUUGCCUUAGUAACGGCGAGUGAAGCGGCAACAGCUCAAAUUUGAAAUCUGGCUCCUUCGGGGUCCGAGUUGUAAUUUGUAGAGGAUGCUUCGAGUUAUGGUUCCUUCCGAGUUCCCUGGAACGGGACGCCAUAGAGGGUGAGAGCCCCGUCUGGUAGGAAACCAUGCUCAUGUGAAGCUCCCUCGACGAGUCGAGUAGUUUGGGAAUGCUGCUCUAAAUGGGAGGUAUACUCCUUCCAAGGCUAAAUACCGGUUAGAGACCGAUAGCGCACAAGUAGAGUGAUCGAAAGAUGAAAAGCACUUUGAAAAGAGAGUCAAACAGCACGUGAAAUUGUUAAAAGGGAAGCGCUCGCUACCAGACGUGGGUUCGGUGGUUCAACCAGGUCCAUGACCUGGGGCACUCCGCCGGCCCAGGCCAGCAUCAGUUUCCGUCGGGGGCAAAGGCGUCGGGAAUGUGGCUCUCCUUCGGGGGAGUGUUAUAGCCCGUCGCGUCAUACCCUUCGGGGGGCUGAGGUACGCGCUCCGCAAGGAUGCUGGCGUAAUGGUAGCUAGUGACCCGUCUUGAAACACGGACCAAGGAGUCAACCUUAUGUGCGAGUGCCCGGGCGUAAAACCCCAGCGCGGAAUGAAAGUGAACGUAGGUGAGAGCUUCGGCGCAUCACCGACCGAUCCUGAUGUCCUCGGACGGAUUUGAGUGAGAGCAUAUAGGGUUGGACCCGAAAGAAGAUGAACUAUGCGUGUGUAGGGUGAAGCCAGAGGAAACUCUGGUGGAGGCUCGCAGCGGUUCUGACGUGCAAAUCGAUCGUCAAACAUGGCAUGGGGGCGAAAGACUAAUCGAAUCUUCUGGUAGCUGGUUUCCGCCGAAGUUUCCCUCAGGAUAGCAGUGUUGAUCCCAGUUUUAUGAGGUAAAGCGAAUGAUUAGGGACUCGGGGGCGCUAUUUAGCCUUCAUCCAUUCUCAAACUUUAAAUAUGUAAGAAGUCCCCGUUACUUUAUUGAACGCGGACGCUGGAAUGAAACAACACUAGUGGGCCAUUUUUGGUAAGCAGAACUGGCGAUGCGGGAUGAACCGAACGCGAGGUUAAGGUGCCGGAGUGGACGCUCAUCAGACACCACAAAAGGUGUUAGUACAUCUUGACAGCAGGACGGUGGCCAUGGAAGUCGGAAUCCGCUAAGGACUGUGUAACAACUCACCUGCCGAAUGUACUAGCCCUGAAAAUGGAUGGCGCUCAAGCGUCCCACCCAUACCUCGCCCUCGGCGCGGGCUCGGCGCGUCGAGGAGUAGGCGGACGUGGAGGUCGGUG
rnacentral:rRNA from 1 species